rnacentral:rRNA from 1 species
GUUGUAUAGUUAAGUGACUAAGCGUACAAGGUGGAUGCCUUGGCAAUCAGAGGCGAAGAAGGACGUGCUAAUCUGCGAAAAGCUUGGAUGAGUUGAUAAGAAGCGUUUAAUCCAAGAUAUCCGAAUGGGGAAACCCGAUAGAUGAAGAAUCUAUCAUUUCAUUAUGAAUCCAUAGUAAUGAAAGGCAAACCGGGAGAACUGAAACAUCUAAGUACCCCGAGGAAAAGAAAUCAACCGAGAUUCCGUGAGUAGCGGCGAGCGAAAGCGGAGGAGCCAUCAAAUAUUAUCUCAUCAAUUAAGAGAAUCAACUGGGAAGUUGAAUCAUAGAGGGUGAUAAUCCCGUAUCUGAAAAUUGUUGGGAAGGACUAAGUUUGAGAGAAGUAGGGCGGGACACGUGAUAUCCUGUCUGAAGAUGGGGGGACCAUCCUCCAAGGCUAAAUACUCCUGAUUGACCGAUAGUGAACCAGUACUGUGAAGGAAAGGCGAAAAGAACCCCGGUGAGGGGAGUGAAAGAGAACCUGAAACCUUGUACGUACAAGCAGUGGGAGCCGUAAGGUGACUGCGUACCUUUUGUAUAAUGGGUCAGCGACUUAUAUUUUGUAGCGAGGUUAACCGCAUAGGGGAGCCGAAGGGAAACCGAGUCUUAACUGGGCGAAUAGUUGCAAGGUAUAGACCCGAAACCCGGUGAUCUAGCCAUGGGCAGGUUGAAGGUUGGGUAACACUAACUGGAGGACCGAACCGACUAAUGUUGAAAAAUUAGCGGAUGACUUGUGGCUGGGGGUGAAAGGCCAAUCAAACCGGGAGAUAGCUGGUUCUCCCCGAAAUCUAUUUAGGUAGAGCCUUGAGCGGACACCUUUGGGGGUAGAGCACUGUUUCGGCUAGGGGGCCAUCCCGGCUUACCAACCCGAUGCAAACUCCGAAUACCAAAGAGUGAUACUCAGGAGACACACGGCGGGUGCUAACGUCCGUCGUGGAGAGGGAAACAACCCAGACCGCCAGCUAAGGUCCCAAAGUUUAUAUUAAGUGGGAAACGAAGUGGGAAGGCUUAGACAGCUAGGAUGUUGGCUUAGAAGCAGCCAUCAUUUAAAGAAAGCGUAAUAGCUCACUAGUCGAGUCGGCCUGCGCGGAAGAUGUAACGGGGCUCAAAUAUAGCACCGAAGCUGCGGCAUCAG